AAAAACCUAACCCUACUUCAUUUCAGUCGUUUCUUCAUUUCUCUCCCUCUUCCUUCUCUCUCCUCCAUCUUCAUUUCUAAUUCUCUCUCAUUCCUCUCUUCAUCAUCAUCACCGUAGAUGUUCAUCACCAUCACCGUAGAUAAUCUUCGAAGAUCUUCAUCAUCAUCGAUCUCUCAACUCGUAGAUCUUCAUCAUCGACGAAAAUUGGCGAUCGAAGAUCUCAAACAAGGAGCUCCAACAAAAUCUUAACUUGUAAUUUUUGAUUUAGAUUAGAUCAAGUAUUAUAGUCUUUUUUAUUAGUAUUAGAUUUAAGUAGUUGGUAUAAGUAUUGAUAGUUUUGUAAUCCUUAUACUCCUUUCUUCAUGGAUUAAGAAUAUGAAAAGGGGUUAUUCUUUUGA